AGUGUGCCAUUGGAUACUUUUAUUAAAAAAAUAUUUGAAUUAUAUUUAUUUCAAUUAAUAUUUAUUUUGAAGAGAGAGAAGAGCGAUAUACGUGAAUUUGUCAAAUAAUAUUUAUUUUGGAGUUAUUAAAUUUUUUUUUAUUUUACCAAUGAAAUUCAUAGGGUAAUUUUUCUUAAUUUAAAAAUAUCUUGCUCUAUUCCCAUCGAAACAUACUUGACAAAUUUGGAAUGGAAUUUUAAAUUUUUUAAUUUUAAAUUCACAUAUACUUAAGAAUUCGUAAAAAAAAAAUGAAUGAGUGAACACGGAAUUGAUCCAAAAAUGGGCCCCAUCAUAGAAGAGUGCACAUUGACCAAGUUAUCAAUUUCGUAUUUUUAUUUUUAUUUUUUUUGAUUAAUCACAUAGUGUCCUAAAAAAAGCCUUUGGGCCCAUCCAGACUAAUCUCUGUGCCCUAAGCAGCUAGCCCUUCACACCUCAGGAUGUAAACACGGAUAUGCGACGCAGCCACCAGGAUUCGAACGCGAUACCUCCGAGUGUUAGCUCGUGUACCUGACGUCCGCCCGAAACGACUGCGCCUUGUGCCCGGGGGAAGAGGUGAGAAUCGAAUCCUGAACCGUAAGUCCUGAUAAGGCCGCGCUUAUCACUUUGGCUAAGCCUUGUAUUUUUUAUAUUUUAUUUUACGCUUACUAUCAGUUUGGUUAUAAAUAGGGAAUCCCAAAAUCUUACUAUAUUGUACAACUCGAUAAAAUGGGUUCCAGGAAGUUGCUUGUUUUGGAGAUCUUUCUCUUGACACUUAUCCUUCUCUUGGCUUUUGAAGUGGCUGCAAGGGAACUGCUUGACGUCACAGGUAAGUUUCAAUCUGGAUUCUUGCUUUUGGGAACUGCUUUGGCUUUAGGUUGGUCAGUCGUAUUGGCUUUUGGAUUCUAACCGUUCAUAUGUAGGAUUUUCUGAAAAAUUAUAUAACGAUUUCUGAAAAAACUUUAAUUCUAUAAAAAUUUAUUUUAAUAGAAUUCAAAUCAAUCGUUAAUAUUAAUUUAUAUCAAGAUAAAUAAGUUCAAAAUAGAACCCUAAAUGUUGAACUGAACUUAUCUACAAUAUGAACGGUUUGUGUCAUUAAAUGAACUCAAAAUAAAACUCAAAAUUUUUUGAGUUGCACCCAUACAACUUCAGAGAAGCCAGAUCCAUAUUAUAUAUAUGAACAUAAGAAUCUUGAUAUAUUAUCUUUUGGAAAGAGUUUUACUAGAGACAAUGAACAGUGGAUGGAUAAUGCAAAUUCACAUGUGGUGGUACCCACGUGUUUAUUAGCUCAUUGCCAAUGCACUGAACAAAAUAUAUAUUUUUUAUUUUUUUUAUUUUGAAAAUCAUGUCCAAUGUUCUCUUCUACUUUUUAUAUUUCGUGUUUGAUUGGCAACUAGAAAUGGUUAUAAGUUUAUAACACACAUAAUACUGUUCAUGCUUGGUAAUGUUAGAUUUUGUUAAAGUGUUUUUUGGAAAAGCAACCCUUGAAGUAUUUCUGAAAAUAUGCUUAAAUCGACCCUUCAAAAGAAAAAACAAAAGCAUUAAGUAAUUUUUUAAAGGUUUUCCAAAUAUUCACGUACAACGUUUUUCUAGAUAAAAAUUGACAAAAAGCUUCUAGAAAUUUUUCAAAACAUGCUCACUAUAUUCCAAAAGUGUGAAAUAUAAUAUAUCACACGAUUACACUCCCAUGGUAUAUUAUAUCCCCACCAGCAAACAUGGCCCCCUCUCAAUAUUCAUUCAAUGGCUAUGACCAAUCCUUUUUUUCUUAUCCCAAGCCAUAUCCUGAUAUCCUAACCCAAACAAACAUAGUAUAUGUAUUAUUACUUUUUNNNNNNNNNNNNNNNNNNNNNNNNNNNNNNNNNNNNNNNNNNNNNNNNNNNNNNNNNNNNNNNNNNNNNNNNNNNNNNNNNNNNNNNNNNNNNNNNNNNNAAUUCUUUACACUCUUUUAGUAUUUAAGGGAAAAGAUCUUUAAUAAAUUUGGCAGCCCAAUGCUGUAGCAUUAACAUCUAUCAUGUCCCUCUCUCCCAUCUUUAAAAUCUUUCAGUAUUUUAAAAAGACAUCUAUAUUAACCUUGUCAUUGGUCCGAAAAGUUGUGUUGCAUUAAAGCCUAUCAUGUCCUCUAUCUCCAUCUUUACAAUCUUUAGAAUUUCAGGAAAAAAUCCUUCAAUAAAUUUGGAAUUAGCCCAAUGUCGUGUAGCAUUAAAAUCUAUCAUGUCCCUCUCUCCCAACUUUAAAAUCUUUCGAUAUUUUAAAAACAUCCCUAUUAAAACUGGGCAUGGUUCAACAAAAAUCGGUGUAGCCAUUAAAUUCGGAUCAUGUUCACUUCUUCCCAUCUUUAUAAUCUUUUAGAUAUUUAAGGAAAGAUCCUUAAUAAAAUUGGCCAUUGGUCCAAAGUUGUGUUGCAUUAAAGCUAUCAUGCCCUUCUCUCCCAUCUUAACAAUCUUUUAGAUAUUUCAACGGAAAGAUCCUUAUUAAAUUUGGCAUUAGGCCCAAUGUCGUGUAGCAUUAAAAUCCUAUCAUGUCCCUCUCUCCCAUCUUUAAAAUAUUUUAAAUAUUUUAAGAAAACAUCCCUACUAAACUUGGCAUUGGUCCAAAAUCAUGUAGCAUUAAAUCCUAUCCUGUCACUUUCUCCCAUCUUUGAAAUCUCCCACGUAUUUUAUAGAAACAACCCUAAUAAACUUGGCAGUGAUUAGAAGAAGUCUGUAGCAUUAAAGUGUAUCAUAUCCAUCUCUUUUAAAGUAUAAUUUAUUUAUUUAUUUAUUUUAUUAAUUAAUUUAGUUAUCAAGUGUUACAUGGUGGGAGGUCUCAAAUUACUAUUUGUGGCUGAAGAUGGUACCUAGUGAUUCAAAACAUUGACCCAUGCCGAUGCCGUGAAUUGACUGCAAACGGAGGCCAAUUACCCACGUCCCACGUUAUCUUAGUCUUGGGACAUUUCUCAUCUAAACUAAAAAAUUGGAAUUUAAAUGGUGGAAAUUGUUUAUUAAAAAAAAUAAAUUUUUGGCCAAUUUUAUUAAAACGUUCAUUAAAAAAUAAAAGAUCUAGUAAAAAAGCCAAAAUUUUGGAGAUUUGUUAGGAAAAUAAUUUUGGGCCAAUUUUGAAGAAAAAUAAAAGAGUAAUCCUACAUCUUUUGAAGCCAGUCUAGUUGGAUAUGCUUAACUUAGUGAGGUGAUUAAUAUCUGAUAAUUUUUUUAUUCAAAAUCAUAAGAUUAAAUGGAAAAUUGACACCCAAAAUUCACUGCUUCAAUAUUAGGGAAGAAUGGUAAAAUAAAUUGCCACAUUGGUCCAUUUAUGAGGUCCUUUAGCGGGUUUACAAGCUUUCCCCUUGAAUUGGUCUGGGGCCCGAGGGGCAACCAUGUUUCAUGGAGGAGGGAGAGGACUGCACCUUUGUGUUACCAUUUGGAAAAAAAAAAAAAAUAUUAUUAUUUAUUUGAGAUUUUAAAAGCGUUCAAAAGGUGCUUACAAUGUGGCAAUGGGGUCCUUAUGAAAGGAACACGGUCUCUUACCCAACGGUCUGAAAUUUGUACCACGUAGUUGUGGCCUGGAAUGUUCGUGCGUCCCAUUUUUGGCACGAGCAUUCAGUGGCACUUUUCGCCAUGAUGGAGCAAACUGUUGACUGUUGAUCUGUACGAACGAAACUUCCGUCACCGAAAAAACUCAAUUAGGAUGGCUACGAAUAUAGAUGAAUCGAAUUAAUUAAACAAUUUUCAAUGUGGAAAAUUAAACAAACAAAUGAGAGAAUAAAAAACAAAAAUAAAAAAAAAAAUCAAAUUUUAUGUGUGUUCGACACUGUAUUAGGUACAGACUGUCAAACAAGUAAAGGUUCCACUAACAAACCAACGAUUGCCCCGAAGAAGAAGAGCCAAAGGAAAGAGAAAUGUUUGUUGAAAAACUCCUCUCCAAAGCCUCACCAAUAUCAACUAGCAAUUUUCCCCGACCCUAGGUAGACAACUCAAAACAAAAAACUCUCUCUCACAUAAAAAGAUUAAAGACUAACCAAAGUCCCCAAUUGGGGGGUCCAAGGGAAACUAAAAAAAAUUUCUUCAAAAACUUGAAGGUCAUCCAAGUCCCCAUAAAGAUCUUUCAAAGGAACUAGAAAUUUACCAAAGAUUAGAGAAUCUUCCAAAUUUAUAACCAAAAAAUCCUUCGUUAAAAACAAACAAUACCAAAAGUGUUUCUUACCAAACAAGCUCCUAAAACCAAUAAAGAAUUACAAAAAAAUAGAGUUUAGAAAUUCUAAAACGAGUUUAAUUAUUCAAAUCUUACCAAUCAAAACCAAUCUAAUUGUCAAUAUCUAAGUGUGAAGCUGAAAAGGCAAAAUUAUCUUACUUGUCUGAUUCUAAAUUAACAGAUGGUACCUUCUCUAGAUCAAAAUUGAAUUAUUGCUUUUGGGGUUUUCGCAAAACUGAGGAAAUUUUGUUCUAGUGGUUCUUUGUUUUUUUUUGGGACUUUACGUUCGAUUGAUAUUGAUAAUAUUUUCAUUGUGGUUUAGUGGUUUCUCUUAAUGGAGUAUAAAAUAAAAUUAUCGAUUUUAUUUUAUACACAUUUUUUUUUAAGAUACAUGUUUUUCUUUCUUUCAAGUACCAUUUUUUCUUUCUUCACUCGAUGCUUUUAUCGAUUUCGACGAGAAGUUACAAACAUUGCAUACAUUACUUUUUAGGCAACAUUUUUUAUGAAGUGUUAAUUUCGUUAGAAAGGAAAAGCUACUGAGCUGUAGUAGUUGUAUUUUUUAAUAUAUUGUAAUCAGAUGUUGCUAAAUAAAUGAUGCUUUAAAAUGUUUUGAGACAAAUGGUAUAUGAGAAGUUUUUAUCCGGAAAGAUUAGGUACGGAAAAAUCUAUUACUUUCUUGUAGUGAUUUCUUUUCUUUUUUAAGCAUUAUGUAGGGCUCCAUUUAAGAGUUCACUUAGGUCUCCAAAAACUUAGGACUUGCUCUCGAUUCAAUUCAUGUCUAAGUUAGUAAAUAAAGAGAUUACAUACACUGUUGGUUCACUGUAGAAACAAAUUGAAAAGUUUUCAUUUGUUCUGCACGAUCACUAUAUUUCAGGAGACAAACGUCUAAAAUAGUAAACACCUUAACGAUGGAAAAUUCUGUCUUUAAGGACAUAGUGCUAAACACUAGCCUUUGAUUAGUCUCCUUCGAAUUUCUCACUACAAUUUGUUUUAUACAAGGUAUAUCUUCUUCUGCAAUCAGUUAUUUGUGUUCAAACCACAUAAUCUGUUUCUGAUUUUGUUUCUAAAAGUAAUUGUUGUUUCCAAAAGAGUUUUUGGUUAUGUUUCUACAAAAUCAGAUUUUUUAAACAGUUUAGCUUCUGCAAAUUAAAUCUGUUUCUGUAAUUAUAUAUAUAUAUAUAUAUAUAUAUGUAUAUAUAUUUAUAUAUAUAUAUAUAUACACACACACACACAAAAAAAAAAGAAUUAAAAAGUAAAAGCUAAAAAUAAAAAUAGUAAUUUUCACACUUUUUUUUUCCUUCAAUUACACUCUAUUUUGUGUCUUUAUUUGGUAUAAGAUUAUCAAAAUACCCAAGUAUUUAUAUUUCUAAACUACUUUUCUCAAAAUAUUCUAAUUGCAUAGAAGGACAUUUAAGUAUUUUUGCCAAAUAAAAAAAAAGAAAUGGAAUUAGAGAAAAAAAGAAUGUAAAAAUCAUUACCUAAAUUAAUGAAAACAUGCUAAAAUGAAAAUUUUCUGAUGCCAUCUAUUACUUAAAAAAUAUAAUAUUCCGUUUGGAUAUGUGAAUUUCAAAUGCUAUUUAAUUUUUUUUAAAAGAAGAAUAUUUUAAUUACACGUAUUUCAAUUAACACUUAUAUUGGAAAAAGAGAGAGCGGAGUGAGAUGUGUGAAUUUGUCAAAUUACACUAAUUUUGAGUUAUUUAAAAUUCUUUUCAUUUACUAUUGAAAUUCAAAGGGUAAUUUUUCUCAAUCUUAAAUUUUUUUGCUCUAUUCGCCAUCAAAACAUAAUUUUUGCUCUAUUCACCAUCGAAACAUACUCGACGAAUUUGGAAGGAAAAUUUCAAAUUUUUUAUUUUUAAAGGGAAUCUAAGAUCCAUGAAGAAUGACUCAACGCGGAAUUGCUCUAGAAUGGUCCCCAUCAUAGAAGAGUGCACAUCAACCAAGUAAUCAAUUUCAUAUUUUUUAUUUUAUUUUACGGUUACUAUCAGUUUGGUUAUAAAUAGGGAAUCCCAAAAUCUUGUUAUUGUAUGACUAAGAGAAAAAUGGGUUCCAGGAAGUUGCUUGUUUUGGAGAUAUUUCUCUCGACUCUUAUACUUCUCUAUUCUUUUGAAGUGGCUGCAAGGGAACUUUCUUUUGGAGACGUCACACGUAAGUUUCAAUCUGGAUUCUUUCUUUUGGCAACUGCUUUGGGUCGGUUGGUCGGUCGUAUUAGAGUCUCUGGAAGUCAGUUAAGUAUAAAAAAAAAAAAAACUCAAAUUUGUUUUUAAUGGUUUAUAUUACAAACAUUGUGGCAAGAUAUUAUUCGCCUAACAUGCCAAGCAAGAAGCCCAUCAUAUCCAACAUGAUAUUAUACGAACUAGGCUUCUUUACGGAUCAUUUUUGGACUGUAAUUUAAGUAUUUUGAGUUAUUUCAAUGAUUCAAACCGUUUAUAUGUAAACCUCCUACAAAAUAUUAAUUCUGUAAAAAAUUAUUUUGAUUGGAUUCAAAUCAAUAGUUAAAUUUAUUUAAUCAAAAUAAGUGAACUCAAAAUUGAACCCCAAAUUUUGAACUGAACCUAUUUAUAAUAUGAACAAUUUGUAUCAUUAAAAUGAACUCAAAAUAAAAUCCGAAAUGCUUGAGUUGCAUCCGUACAACUUUAGAGAAGCCAGAUCUAUAUUAUAUAUACGAACAUAGGAACUUGAUAUAGUACUUUUUGGAAAGAGUUUUGGUGGAGACAAUGUAUAAUGGAUGAAAAAUGCAAAUUCAUAUGUGGUGGUACCUGCGUUUUUAUUGGCUCAUUACCAAUGCAUUAUACAAAAUGCAUUUCUUUUUCUUUUUUUUUUUGAAAAUCAUGACCAAUGUUCUCUUCUACUUUUUAUAUUUUGUGUUUCGUUGGCAACCAAAGAUCAAAAUUUCAUUUCGAGGGUUUGUUUCUGUUGGCAACGAAAACGUUUUGACUGUUUCGAUGGAAACAAAAUGAAUUUUUGUUCCUUGUUGGCAACUAAAAAUGGUUAUAUGUUUACAACACAUGAGAGAAAUGUUUCGACUGUUUCAAUGGAAAACAAACGAAAUUGUAUCCUGAUGACAACUAAAAAGGUUAUAUAUAUUUAUAACACAUGAGAGAAUACUGUGCAUGUUUGGUAAAACUUAAACAAGGCACGCCUCUUAGAUUUUGUUAAAAGAUUUUUGAAAAAGCAACCCUUGGAGUAUUUCUGAAAAUAUGCUUAAUUCCCCCCUCAGAAGCAAAAAACAAAAGCAUUGUUAAGUAAAUUUUUAAAGGUUUUUCCAACAUUCACGUACAAAUUUUUUCUAGAUUAAAAUUGACAAAAAGCUUCUAGAAAUUUUUUCAAACAUGCUAACUAUAUUCUAAAAAGUGUGAAAUAUAAUAUAUCACCCAAUUUACACUCUCAUAGUAUAUCAUAUCCCCACCGGCAAACAUGGUUACCUCUCAAUAUUCAUUCAAUGGCUAAGAUUAAUCCUUUUUUCCUUAUCCCAAGCCAUAUCCUAAGUUCUUAACCCAAACAAAUAUAGUAUAUAUAAUUUUACUUUUUAUUUAUCAUUUAUUUUAUUGCAUUACAUACAUAGUUAUCAGAACUGAACCGGCGAUUGAACUAAUUAAGGCAUUGGUUCAAUGAUUUACUGAUUCAACCGUGAUUCAACCGGUUAUAUAAUAAAUAAAUAUUUAAAUAAAAAUAAUUAUUAAAAAAUUAUAAUGGGUAAAAUAUACAUUUUUUAUGCAAUAAUCAACUAAUAUAAAUAAAUAUAUCAAUAACAAGGUACAAAAAUAUAUAAUUAAUAAAAUAUUUAAGAGGACUUUUUCGUCUUCAUUAAUAUUUUAACUAUUACUUAUUGAUAUUCUUUAUAUUUAAAAGAAAAACGUAAUCUUGCAAUAAUUGUAUAUUAGAUAAAAUGUGCAUUAUUUGUAUGAUCUUUUUUUUUUUAUUUUUUAUUACUAUACACUCCUAUUUUUUUAUCUUUAUUUUUAAUUUAGUUUAUGUUUUUCAUUGAAUUAAUUUGGAUAAACUAUCCGAUAUAUUUAUUAUAAUAAUUAUGUUUCUUUUUUUUUCCUUCUCUUGACUUUCAUUGAAGAUUUUACUUUUUUUAUCAAAAAUCCAUAAAAGACAUUUCUUUUUAAAAAAAAAAUGGUUUUAAAAAAUAAUAUUAUAAAUCUUGUACAAUUUUUAUUUUUUUUAAACUUUUUUAAAAACCGGUCGUUCACUAAAUCCGGCUGUUCACUAUUUUUUCAAAAAAAUCGGCCAUUCAUCCGGUUUCACAUGUAUUUUUGGUAAAUUAAUUAACUGUACUGAUUCAUGUCCGAUUUUCGAUUCAACCGGUUGAACUGACCGAUUCAUACGAUUCUGAUAACUAUGAUUACAUAUUCCUUACCUCUUGAAUCCCCUCAUUUUAUAUUCAGACAGUCAACAGACCCUAUCGUAUUCCCCUAAAUGCCAGCAAGAAGCCCAUCAUAAUAUAUUAUAUGGACUAGGAUUCUCUACAGAUCAUAUUUUCCCGUAUUGGGGUGAAAGGUUAAAUAUUUUUCAAUUAUUUUAAUAAUUAAAUCAUUUAUAUGUAGACAUCCUAUAAACUUUAAUCAUGUAAAAAACACACGUUUGAUAAAAUUUCAAUUAAAAGUUAUAUAAUUUAUAUCAUGAUAAAUUAGCCUCAAAAUAGAAACCAACCUAUCUUCCCUUUCUAAUGCUCAACCAGGACGAAAAUCCAAGCUGAGCUCUUCUCCCAAAUUUGAAGCAAGCAUAGGCAACCAAUCCAUCAUACUCAUGGUUCACUCCAUCAAACACUAAUCUCUCCAAGUCAAGGCCCCUGUCAUUGGAGGAGGAAUAAAUUGCAGCAAUGCAUGGCAAGUCAUUGCAAUAACCUCGCGUACACCGGCUUAAAAGUACGCCUCGAGCACUUAGAUUUCUCUGCCUUUCCACACUUCUUCGCCCGAUCUCAAGUGACCAACUCACCGGUACCAUCCCCCCAUCCGUAUGACUCCUUACAAAACUCCAAUACUUGAUCUCUCCACAAAUUCUCUCUCGGCACAAUACCACUUUCUGGUCUAAUCUUUCCAUGUUUUUGAGCUUGAUUUCUCACGAACAUGAUAACCGGUGAGCUUGAAAUUCCGCGUUGUUUCCAAAUGUGCCACGGAAUCAGCCAAAACCGGGCUAAUAGUCUCCAGAGAAUUCUCCUUCAAGAUACGAACCUUAGUGGCUAUAUUCCUUCGAAUUAGGUUUGGGGGGCAAAAAAUUUGACCUCUCAUUGCUUUUGAUGGAAGUCAUUUUUUCGGUCCAAUUCCUUCUUCUUUGGGCAAUUUAGUGGAGUUAACGGCUUUACGGCUAGCUGCAAACCUCUUUCUGGGAAAAUUCCUUGAGUCUUGUUCUUUAAGCAGUUAACCGUCUUCGCUUGUUUAUAACCGAUUUAUCCGGAUUCCGUCCCUCAAGAAAUGGAAACUGUCGUCAUUGGGAGUUCUUCAUCUGGCAGGAGAACAACUUCACUGGCCAAUUGCCUCAACAAUGUGUCAAAGUGGAAAACUUGUGAUUUUCAGUGCAGCUUAUACCAAUUUUACCGGUCCUAUCCCAAGGAGCUAAGAACUUGCUCAACUUAUUCAGGGUCCGGUUUGAAUAUAACCAACUAGCAUGGCAUUUGGAUCAAGAGUUCGUAGUUUAUCCAGUCUUACUUACCUGGACUUGAGCUACAACCAGCUGUCAAGGUAAAUACGCUUCAAUGGGGGCAAUGUCGUAAUUUGACACUGCUAACACUUGCAGGAAUAUAAUUGCAGGGGAAUCCCAAAUGAAUACUUCAGUUAACCAACUCCAAGUAGUCCUGACCUGUCCAUUCUAAUCACUUUAUGGGAAAAUACCCCACAAACUUGGAAAAUUGUCGGAAUUAGACUCCUUAAGCUUGCAGAACAAUAUUUUUUCAGGUCAAUGACCGUCAGGCAUCGGACAACUAUCCAUUGGAAAUUCUAGACCUGUCAUUUAACAAGUUAAGUGGACCAAUUCCAAUCAGAUUGGGUACUGUUUCAAGGCUACAUUUUUGAGUUGGAGCAAGAAUAAGCUUAAAUGCUUCCAUCCCAACCUGAGAUUGGUUAUCUUGUAACUUUGCAAACCUUUACUUGAUUUGAGUUACAAUCACUUACUGGAGAGAUACCACCACAAUUGGGAAAACUUCCUAGCCUAGGAAAAAUUGAACCUCUCCCAUAACAACUUUUUCAAUACCGUACCCAGUUCUUUAGGUGACAUGGUGAGCUUGGUGACCAUUGACCUGUCCUACAAUGAUCUGGAGGGUCCUCUUCCUAAUACCGACGCCUUUCGUUCGUUUUCCUCCACAAUCAUUCGCGAAUAACAAAGAUUUAUGUGGUAAAUCCAAGGAUUGAGGGCAUGUAACACAUCAUCUCCGAAAGUAACAAGCAAAAGAAAGAGAAUUCCUCUCCUGAUAAUUAUUAUCAUAACUUAUCGUUUCCCUUCUUGUUUUUCGUCUCCUUUGUGGUUGUUUUCUUGCACUUGUCACCGAGAUGCGAAAUGAAUGCUCUGGAAUUUGGGUCCAGGAAAGGAAAAAAAUCUCUUUUCAUUUGGAAUUUUAAUGGGAGAAUGAUUUACGAAGACAUAAUCUAUGCCACAAAGAUUUAAGGAUGAAUAUUGCAAUUGGGGUGGGAGGGUCAGCGAGAGUUUAUAAGGCUAUGUUACCGAGUGGACAGGUCGUGGCAGUGAAGCUAACUCUAGAACUGAAAGCAUGGAGUAUGGACAGAACUUUCGAAAAUGAGAUAAGAACUUUGACAGAAACAGGCACGAACAUUGUGAAACUUAUGCCUUUUGUUCUCAUGAAAGGCAACAUUUUUUGGUUAGCGAGUUCAUGGAACAAAGGGAGCUUGGCAAGUGUUCUAAUUGUCGAUAAAGAAGCACGGAGUUAGAUUGGUUGAAGAGGGUGGAAUAUUAUUCAAGGUGUUGGCUAAAUGCAUUGUAUUACCUGCAUCUAGUUGCACGCAGUUUUUUUUUUUUUUUUCUCCAAUAAUUUCACCGCACAUAUCGAGCAGAAUGUUUUGUUGAACUCAGAAUUGGAGGCCUCCCAUGUCUCAGAUUUUGGCACUGCUAGUUUUUUGAAGCGUGAAGCCUCAAUUUGGCUGCAGUUGCGGCACAUAUGAUACAUCGCGCAGGUGGACAUUUUAUUAGAUUUAUAUGUUUUUAGUUUCAUUUAAUUUAUCGAAACGAGAAAAAUAUCCUUUUAAUUUUAAUAGAAUUUGUGGACAAUAGACAGCUCAAAAGAGUUUUCACGAAUAAUUUUUAAAACUAGUUUGUCAAAGAAUGUAGUGCUAUGGAUAAUUAGUUAAUAGAGUUACACAUUGUUGUCUAUGAGUCUCGGGGCUUUAUUUCAAGCUUAAUUUGAAAUUUUAAUGAGUUUAAAAACUUGUUCAACCUAGUUGGGAUAUUAGUCAAUUCAAUUUGGAAACAAUCUCCUAAUAAGUCAAUUUGAGUAAAUCACAGGUUAUAGGUUGGGUUGUUUUAAUUUUAUCUAGGAUAGCUUGUAGACUAAGCUGAGAAGAGCUACGAGAAAACUGACUAUUCCAACAUAUAUUCAGCAUUGGUUGUUUAGGUAAUAGGUGAUUGCAAUUGGAUUUUAAUUAACGAGCUAAACACAAAUGAACUUGACUAUUUUGUUCAUUUUACACCCAAUGCUUGCACCUUCUUUGAAGAUCCAUUUCGUCAGUGCAGAAUUGGCAAUUUGAAUUUUAGCCUCGAGUUAAUGUUUUUUCCUUAUUUUUUUCAUUCCUUUUGCUCUCAGAUUGUCGUAUACAAUUGCGGUGACAGAAAAAAUUCGAUGUGUAGCUUUGGGGUCAUUGACACUUGAGUUUUGAAGGAAUGGGCCUCAUCCAGGGGAGCCUUAUUUCCACCCCUAACUCUUAGUGGAUCAAUGCAUUCAACUUGAAGAUGUGUUUAGAUCCUCGCCUCUCUCCUCCUACCAAAAAGAUUGGCACAUGAACUCACCCCCAUUGUCAAUCUUGCAAUAUGGUGCUUGCGUGCUGAUCCACGUUCUAGGCCUUCCAAGAGCUGCCUUAAACUCAAGGCUUGAAAUCAAGGCUGGUUAUGACUAGAGAAAUAUAGCGUGUAUGAGAAUGUAACUAUGUAUGUAUUUGAAUAUCUAAGAAUCACAGCACCAAAAGAAAAAUGUGUAACUAUGCUAUUAAUGGGAUGUUGGUGUUAUUCAAUCCUUUGAUUGUGUGAUUUUAUUCAAUCUCCACCUAUAAAUAGAUAUGUAUUUUAUAUAUUAGACAUAUGAUGUAAUAAAAUGUGAUUAUCAACGAGAAAAAGAGUCCUUAUGGAAUUUGUGCUCA
rnacentral:lncRNA from 1 species